rnacentral:rRNA from 1 species
UACGUAGGGGGGCAAGCGUUGUCCGGAUUUAUUGGGCGUAAAGAGCGUGUAGGCGGCCAGGUAGGUCAGCUGUGAAAACUCGAGGCUCAACCUCGAGACGCCGGUUGAAACCAUCUGGCUAGAGUCCGGAAGAGGAGAGUGGAAUUCCUGGUGUAGCGGUGAAAUGCGCAGAUAUCAGGAGGAACACCGAUGGCGAAGGCAGGUCUCUGGGCAUUAACUGACGCUGAGGAGCGAAAAGCAUGGGGAGCGAACAGG